rnacentral:rRNA from 1 species
CCUACGGGAUGCAGCAGUGGGGAAUAUUGGGCAAUGGACGCAAGUCUGACCCAGCAACGCCGCGUGAAGGAAGAAGGCUUUCGGGUUGUAAACUUCUUUUAAGGGGGAAGAGCAGAAGACGGUACCCCUUGAAUAAGCCACGGCUAACUACGUGACAGCAGCCGCGGUAAUACGUAGGUGGCAAGCGUUGUCCGGCAUUACUGGGUGUCAAGGUCGUGCAGCCGGAGAGACAAGUCAUAGGUGAAAUCCACGGGCUCAACCCGUGAACUGCCUUUGAAACUGGUUCCCUUGAGUGUCAGAGAGGUAAUCGGAAUUCCUAGUGUAGCGGUGAAAUGCGUAGAUAUUAGGAAGAACACCAGUGGCGAAGGCGGAUUACUGGACGAUAACUGACGGUGAGGCGCGAAAGCGUGGGGAGCAAACAGGAUUAGAUACCCGGGUAGUC